CUCUCUGUAUUCUCCAAAAACAAGCGCGCACAGAUUUGCCCUAAUACUCCGCCUAGCUCUAGAGCCCACAUCGCUUAUCUGCCUUUUCUCAAAACUCAGAUUGUGAAUUUCUGCCCUAAUAUCCAUCUCGCCUUUUGAGAUUAAUCCAAGAUUAUUGCAGGAUAAAUUUGAGAGUAUUGACAUGAAUGAUCAUCGUGAUCAUAUUUUCGGAUGGAUGAAAGAGUUAUGAAAAAUGGAGAGGACACUUGCAUGCAAAAUAUGUGAAGGAUAAGCCAAUCCAACAGGCUCUUAAGAAUAUUCCAAAGGGAGCAGACAAGAAAGAAUGGGAGUGGUUAAUAAAGAAAUAUUUUUCUUCAGAAAGUUUUUAGAAAAGAUGGCAAUCCACCAGAUUUGGCAACAAUUUUCUUCGAGACCCGUAAGAAAGAUAACAAGCUUGUUGAACCUGAAGCAAUUGAAAAACAUGCUCAAAUCGAAGAAAUAAUUCAAUUAGAUCCAUCUCUACCUAGCAUAGAGAUUGUAGAAAAAUGUUGUGGACCUCAAACUCGUAGCCAUGUGUUUGGCUUUGGGGGUGGAGUAAAGGCGAAAGACUUGAAAGGUGGAACUUCUUCAAAGGCUGAAUUAAUGUCCGCGCUAUGUUCAACUCGAGAAGAGAACAAAUCUUUAAAUGAGGAAAACAAAUCCUUGCAGGAGUGCUUGUCUACCUUAGAUUAUGACAUGAAAGAAAUGAAGAAAAUGAAAGAGUUCUUCGCUGCUCAACAAUCACAUGUCUCGCUUACGACAUCGCCCGUUUCAAUUGAAUGAACACUGUUUUGUCUGCUGGCCAAGUUAGUAACAAUAUACCCAACUUUUUAAUUUAUAUAGUUGAUUUGCAUAUAGCCGAUUUCUAUAUUACAGAUUCUAGCAGUUUACUUUUUAAAUUUUUUUUUGCAAUUCAUCAGUAGUACCUGUGGCAAGAAGAAAUAGCCUACAGAAUAGUGAUUGAAGCUAGAUAUGGAUUGAAUGUACAAUGGUGCAGUACUUAGAUGCUCGCGGAUCUGUUUUGACCAAUUACAUAUUUUGAACAACUAACUUAGCAAGACACUGUGCAUACUAUUUGCUUCUCCUCCUAGACACAAUUACAUCAAUUAGUUGUUGCACUAACAUCAGUGAUACAUGCUUAGCCGUUCCUUUCUACGUUUAAUGACUCAAUGGACCAACCAAAUCCAGUAGCAGUUCCUUUCUACGUUUGAAGCUAUAAACAGAGGUUCUCUAUGAAGGCAUAAGCACGCCAUAAAAAGCAAAUUCAAGAUGAACUUGUCAAGUUCUAACUAAAAUAAAGUUCAAAUUCAUUAGAAGGGACAUACCCACUAUUAACAGAUCUUAUAAGUGCCAACAAAAUAUAUAGACUAACAGACAGCUUCUCAUUGCACAGUAGUUAGUGAUAUUUUGGAACAUGUUCAUCACUGUUUUCGGUUUAAGAUAGGUCAUGCCUAACAGCAUCAAGGAUGCCUACAUCAGUUGGAUCUCUUGGAAAGUUGAUAAAUCCAUGUAAACAGAACUUGCAAAGUGUUUCGUCCACCUGUGAUCUUGUUAAGAGAUAUCUGGUGUUCCUAUAGUUAGGUGAAAGAAAAUUGCAGUUGCUUGAAUUCAGUCCAUUUUCUAAUCCUUCUAUUUAUUCUCCUAUAUCUGAAGCUGUUGGGUUGGAAAAAACUCAUCUUUGUUGAUUGCUUGUCCUUGGGCAUCUUGUUAAUCAUUUAGUUUAAUGAGUUCAAUGAGUGCUUCUGAAAAAUGUAUUUUUCUGAGGAGUACCGUGGGAAAGCUCCACGAGAGUUUGUCAUACUCCUUGGACAUAUCAAGCUUUAUGACAAUAUUCUCCUCUUUAAAUUUACAUAUGUUCUUUUACCAUUGUUAUUUAUCUUCUUUUCAAACUUUUGUACUUACAAAUUUCGAAGAUUGAAGCUACAAGUCAAGAUGAAAGUUUAGAAGAUUCACAAGCUCAUUAAUUAUUUUGUUAGGACUGUUAUUCAAAACUUGAUAUCAUAAUGUAGCUUAGGAUGUUAGCUAAGUUUUUUUGUUAAGGUGUUGAGCAAAUAUAGAAACUAACAUCAUCAUGGGA